rnacentral:tRNA from 1 species
GGAGGGAUGGCAGAGCGGCUGAUUGCGGCGAUCUUGAAAAUCGCUGGAGGUUUACGCCUUCCGGGGGUUCAAAUCCCCCUCCUUCCG